rnacentral:snRNA from 1 species
ACAAUUUUUUCACGUAAUAGUCA